UACGGAGGGUGCAAGCGUUAUCCGGAUUCACUGGGUUUAAAGGGUGCGUAGGUGGGCAAGUAAGUCCGUGGUGAAAUCCCUGAGCUUAACUCAGGAACUGCCGUGGAUACUAUCAAUCUUGAAUACUGUGGAGGUAAGCGGAAUAUGUCAUGUAGCGGUGAAAUGCUUAGAUAUGACAUAGAACACCAAUUGCGAAGGCAGCUUGCUACACGGUUAUUGACACUGAGGCACGAAAGCGUGGGGAUCAAACAGG
rnacentral:rRNA from 1 species